rnacentral:rRNA from 1 species
GCCCAAAACAUCUAGCCACGCCACACCCAUACGGGCCUUCAGCAGUGAUUAACAUUAAAAAUAAACGUCAGUUUGAUUUAGUUAAAUUAAUAAAGAGCCGGCCAAUCUGGUGCCAGCCGCCGCGGUUACACCAUGUGGCUCAAAUUGAUUUUAAUACGGCGUAAAGCGUGAUUAAAGAACCACCUUCUGGGGUCAAAAUUAAAUUAAGCUGUCGCACGAUUAUUCUUAAGAAGCUCUAACUCGAAAGAUACCCCAACCUACCAACUUGAAUUCACUACAGUUAGGACACAAACUGGGAUUAGAUACCCCACUAUGCCUAAUCGCAAACUUUAACUUACACCACCUCGCCGGGGAACUACGAGCAAAGCUUAAAACCCAAAGGACUUGACGGUGCCCCACAUCCUUCUAGAGGAGCCUGUCCUAUAAUCGAUAACCCCCGUUUUACCUCACCACUAUAAGCCUAUCAGCCUGUAUACUUCCGUCGUCAGCUUACCGCGUGAGCGAAAAGUAAACCCAAUGGCUCCCACCAAUACGUCAGGUCAAAGUGCAGCAAAUAUAGUGGCAAGAGAUGGGCUACACUCUCUAUUCUAGAGCAUACGAAAGAUUAUGUGAAAUCAUAUUCAAAAGGCGGAUUUAGCAGUAAGAGAGGGUUAGAGCACCUCUCUAAACUUGGCACUGGGGGUGUGUACACACCGCCCGUCACCCUCUU